GAGGAGCGGCGAUUCCGAUUUUGGCUCUUCUUCCUCAUUUUCUCGUGGGCAUCAGGAGAGAACCAGAAAAAAAAAACAAUCCUCUCUCACUCCUAAGAACGACCAGACCUCUCUCACUCCCUCCCCAUUUUCUUUUUCUCACUCACACACGCAAAGUCAUAACAAAAAUAGUUAAAAUUUCUGAGUUCAAGCUUUACACUCUAGAUUUAAAAAAAAUACAUCUAAAGAAAGAGUAAAAUAAGAGUGGUCUCAAUUUCUGCUGCACUACCUUGUGAUUUCUGAGAUUUUGAGCUAUCUUUUGGGCUUGGAAUUGAAGCCGCUCUUGCUGGGUUUGUUGUGGCUGAACAUUGGCUGGACUAGUAGUUGAUUCUUCAUACCUAGUUUCUCUUUGACCUUUAUUUGGUCGUGGAUUCUCUGUUUGAUUUCAAGUUACUAGGUAUGUGACUAUACCUUUGAGUUUUGUUAAAAUGUUAAUCAAAAAUCUGAGUUACAUGUUAGUUUGUUAUUUGAUAUGAGAUUUAUCCACACUGGUGUUAGUUUGUGCUUGUUAUAAAUAUUCAUGCCGUCACUUGUUUGAGUAUAAUACAGAGUAUUGAAAUAGUCUUUAAGAGUUCUGCUCGUUGGUGAGUUUAAUGCUUAUUUCCUAUCUCAAAUUCUGGUGGCCAGAUUUUGAAAGAGAAUAUGGCUUCUUUGGGGCAGCUCCUUCAAGUCAUUUUUCCUUUAAAAAAUGGUGUAUAUUAUACUGAUACAUGGGGUGAAAAUGAUCACUCCUUUAAUUACCUCCCUUGGUCUCUACUCUUGUUUAACUCUUGAAAUUGUUGUCGAAGGCACAAUACUUAAAUAAGUAAAGGUGAAAAUAAAAAAAUAAAAAAAGCAAAACAAAAUUCCAUAAAGAAAAGAAACAGAGGGAUGUAUAUGCUUAAUUACUGAUAGUUGUUUUAUUAUGUAUGUUAUCACUUAAGUUUAAUAUGAACCUGACCUAUCUGUGUGCUCUUUCAAACAUAAUUCAAGAAGAGUUAGAAGUUGCUCUUUCCAAUUCAAUCACAAUGGGAAAAUAUUUAUAUAGUUACUGUUGGCAUGGACAUAAAAUGUGAAAGGAGCAAAUUUGGCUUCAAAGAUUUAGCUUGAAUGUUAUAAACACUUGUUGCUUCCGGUCAAGUAUAUUGUUUAAUCCUCACUGUAUUUUCAAUUUCUUAAUAACUAAAGGUGAUAAUCUGGUUAGUUUUAUUACUACUAUUAGUGCUAAGAUCUGUUGCUCCCAGUCACGUGAGUUUUGGUUUUAUCUAAUGUUAUUAAUGUGUUUGGUUGAUGAAGGUUUAUGGUAGAUCCUUUGCCGUAUUUAACUCCUUCAUUCAUGUCAUUCACUGUUUGUCCGCUCCCUUAUGGCUUGGGAGAUGAAGAACAUAUGAACAUCGUAGCUUGCUUUAGGUGCGAUUAAUUUUAAAUCAUUAUGGUCAUGGGUACGGUUCCCGUGGCAUGGUCAUGAUACGUAAAUCUCAAUCGAGGCGUGCCAUUAGUUGAAUUUUCAUGGCCCUCGCAAAGUUGAAAAAUGUGUAGUUGCUUUAGGUGCGUAUUUUAAAAUUUACCUUCCUAAACUCGGGUGCGCAUUUAUGUGACCCAAAUCCAAAUCUCAACAACAUUAGAUAAAAUGUGUUACGGACUGCGGGUGCAUUUAUGUGGCGUGGUUCAAUACGUAUUUUAAAUGAUGUUGCAAUCUUCCUAAAAUGAAUAAAAGCGGUUAUAAAGUUAAAAUUGAACCAUAGGCUAAAACGUGUAUUAAAACCAGAUAAAUAAGUCGAAUAUGACAGUUGAGCGACCGUGCUAGAACCACGGAACUCGGGAAUACCUAAAACCUUCUCCCGGGUUAACAGAAUUCCUUAUCCGGAUUUCUGGUUCGCGGACUGUAAUACAGAGUCAAUCUUUUCCUCGAUUCGGGAUUCAACCGGUGACUUGGGACACCAUAAAUCUCCCAAGUGGCAACUCUGAAUUAAAUAAUAAAUCCCGUUUUGAUUGUCCUUUAAUUGGAAAAACUCCCUCUGCGCCUUUGCGGUGGCGCGGGUGAAAAAGGAGGUGUGACUUCUCUGGAGACUCUGCUGGGGAAGGUAGCCCAGAAUCUUUGGUUCAGGGUUCAGAAUUCGAGCUUAGAUAAAUUGUUAUAUUUGGAUUUAUUUAUUAUCUGAUUCUAUUACAUGUUUUGUCCUAAUGUGCUAAAAUGUUGCUUUUACUGCUUUGAUAUUAUCUGAACUGUAUAUAUAAACUGCUACGAAAUCCCUCUCUUCUCUCUCUUGAGGAGUGCACGCUGGUCGUGACUUCUUUCUGUUAGUGUCAUAUUCCAAAAUAGAACGAGGAUUCGGAUGAGUUGCAAAACCGGAUGAUCUUUUGGUUACCAGUACGCAGUUCCCAUCCCCGGCUCGAGUUGUCCGCUCGGGUAAGCUAUGUCUAAAACAAACACCCAGGAUAAACCUAGUAUAACAAAACCUCAUGCCGGAUCCCUAGUAGUAACGCUUAUUUGCAUCAUGUGCACUUGACUUAGGGGACUCAACACAGGAGUUGGGUCCGUCUAGGACAAGCGACCUGAAAUGAAAAAGACCAUUCUGCUGCAUCCUGUUUGUUUCACGCAUUUAUUUGCUGUAGACUUGCAUGCUGACCGGCUUCUGAAAAUACUGGAAUAUCAGAAAAAGAGAAAAAGAAAAUAGCAGUGUAGAGAGAUAAUUCUGAGUUACCGGCGAACUUUGCCAAAAUUUUGUGAAAAAAAAAUAUUUUUUUUAGUAGACAAGUCUUGUUGUAAGAAUUAGUUUAUUGUCGUUACCCGAACUACGCCGGUUUGAUUCUCACAGGAUGUGAGAUACGUAGGCAGCCUUCAUCGGGUCCAACCUCCCCUUUUGCAAAAAUAGCCAAAAAAUAUCAAAAAUUUUAAUCUUUCAUCAUAAAUAAGUCGGGUGAUUCCAUUCUUGUAAAAAUAGCCGAAUGUCCCUAAAAAGACGUCGGAAGGCUGUUUUUGCAAAAAUAAGCCACUUUUUGUCAUUUGUAAGGUUUUGUCCGAUUGGUAAAACACAGCCUUUAAAUCUUCUUCGAAGUGCUGAAAGGCCGUAUUGACAAGACCGGAGUUUUAUUUAAAUGUGUGUCAAUUUUAUUUUAUUCUUUCUUUGAGUCCAAUGAGCGUUAAUCACCCCAAACAAACAUACAGAAUGAGCCCGGGUCCAAGUUUGCCGGUAACAGUUAGGAGCAAGAUCCCUUUGGAGUUGCGCUUGUGGUGGGAGGAUUUGGAAAAGUCAGAGCGAGAUAAGAUCAAAUCACAUCUGGGAGGCCUCACCAGUUUGUUGA
rnacentral:lncRNA from 1 species